rnacentral:rRNA from 1 species
GACGAACCGUGCGAACGUUGUUCGGAAUCACUGGGCUUAAAGGGAGCGUAGGCGGGCUAUCAAGUCUGGGGUGAAAUCCCACGGCUCAACCGUGGAACUGCCUCAGAUACUGACGGCCUCGAGGAAGGUAGGGGCAUGCGGAACUAACGGUGGAGCGGUGAAAUGCGUUGAUAUCGUUAGGAACUCCGGUGGCGAAAGCGGCGUGCUGGACCUUUUCUGACGCUGAGGCUCGAAAGCUAGGGGAGCAAACGGG